CCCGCAGGGAGACGGCGGCCCCACCUGCCGGGGGCAGCCCGCCCCGGCCGGCGCGUCCCCGCCCCCAGCACUGCUGGCGGCUGCCUGAGCUCCACGCCGGCUCCUCGCCGCUCGGCCCGAGCGCUCGCUCGGUGGGGCCGGGGCUCCCGCGGGGGUGUGGGGGGUGGGCAGCGGGCUCGCACGGGGCUAGGGCGUUUUAGUUUCCAGCCGCACGUCGGCACCGCGCCGCGGGACGCUGCUCCAGUGUGUUGAAGAGUCUGCAAGAAUGUCCAAGACAUCCAUAUCCUAUCUGAUGCUGGACUCUGUGGGAAACUUUCUGAACAUUUCAGUGGGAUGUUGAGCAGAGCACCAGUAAUAAGAAUGAUUGACUGUGACCAACCUGUAUUAGAUUUUAGUUGAAGAAUUAAGCAAUGGAAACAUCCACAUCCAGUUUUUAGUCCCACAUGAUACUCUGUGACUGGUAUAGAAAAACCUAAGAAAUCUCCUUUUACUGGUGUGUCUUGUACCCAGGGAGCUGAGGGUUUUGGGAGAAGUAUGCUUGCUGUCAUCUUUCAGUGAUGACAUCUUUGGAUAUGUACUUGAAAGCUCAUUCUAAUUUUGAGGGUAUUUGAGAUGGAUGUAAAAGAAAGAAUACUGAAUUAUGUACAUUUUGUUGUUUUCUGGGUAAAUGAUUUUGAACUGAAAGAAUGCAAAUGAAGAAACGUUAUUAUUCAGUUGUCCAGAGUACUGAAGUGUUGUUUUAUAUCAGCAUUGUUCAAGAAUUAAAGAGCAGAAGAGUGGGGAAAUAACUCUUGAAAGCUUAUUCAAAAAGGCUUAUCAUGUAUUGCAUCGCUGGCAGUUACAGCUGUUACAGUACAGAGAGUUCUUGGGUAUCCGAAGCACGUUCAUGUACUUUGGGUAUAGAGAUCUGAAGCUGAAUGCGCUUUGUAUAUUUUGUGGAAAAAUAAAUCUAUUUGUUUUAAAUUGAAAAAA